GAAGAAUUAGUUAAAUAAUAACAUUAGAAUGUCAAACUAAAAUUAUCAAAUUUUGAUAUUCUUCU
rnacentral:tRNA from 1 species